rnacentral:rRNA from 1 species
ACGGGGCCCGCACAAGCGGUGGAGCAUGUGGUUUAAUUCGACGCAACGCGAAGAACCUUACCAGGGCUUGACAUCCCCUGACCGCGUAUGAAAGUACGUUUUCACCCUCGGGUGACAGGGAGACAGGUGGUGCAUGGUUGUCGUCAGCUCGUGUCGUGAGAUGUUGGGUUAAGUCCCGCAACGAGCGCAACCCCUACGUUUAGUUGCUAACAGGUGAAGCUGAGCACUCUAGACGAACUGCCGUUGACAAAACGGAGGAAGGUGGGAUGACGUCAAAUCAUCAUGCCCCUUAUGUUCUGGGCUACACACGUGCUACAAUGGCCGGUACAGACGGAGGCGAAGCCGCGAGGCGGAGCAAAUCCGAAAAAGCCGGUCUCAGUUCGGAUUGCAGGCUGCAAUUCGCCUGCAUGAAGUCGGAAUCGCUAGUAAUCGCAGGUCAGCAUACUGCGGUGAAUACGUUCCCGGGCCUU